GAUGAACGCUGGCGGCGUGCCUAAUACAUGCAAGUCGAGCGAACGGACGAGAAGCUUGCUUUUCUGAUGUUAGCGGCGGACGGGUGAGUAACACGUGGAUAACCUACCUAUAAGACUGGGAUAACUUCGGGAAACCGGAGCUAAUACCGGAUAAUAUUUUGAACCGCAUGGUUCAAAAGUGAAAGACGGUCUUGCUGUCACUUAUAGAUGGAUCCGCGCUGCAUUAGCUAGUUGGUAAGGUAACGGCUUACCAAGGCAACGAUGCAUAGCCGACCUGAGAGGGUGAUCGGCCACACUGGAACUGAGACACGGUCCAGACUCCUACGGGAGGCAGCAGUAGGGAAUCUUCCGCAAUGGGCGAAAGCCUGACGGAGCAACGCCGCGUGAGUGAUGAAGGUCUUCGGAUCGUAAAACUCUGUUAUUAGGGAAGAACAUAUGUGUAAGUAACUGUGCACAUCUUGACGGUACCUAAUCAGAAAGCCACGGCUAACUACGUGCCAGCAGCCGCGGUAAUACGUAGGUGGCAAGCGUUAUCCGGAAUUAUUGGGCGUAAAGCGCGCGUAGGCGGUUUUUUAAGUCUGAUGUGAAAGCCCACGGCUCAACCGUGGAGGGUCAUUGGAAACUGGAAAACUUGAGUGCAGAAGAGGAAAGUGGAAUUCCAUGUGUAGCGGUGAAAUGCGCAGAGAUGUGGAGGAACACCAGUGGCGAAGGCGACUUUCUGGUCUGUAACUGACGCUGAUGUGCGAAAGCGUGGGGAUCAAACAGGAUUAGAUACCCUGGUAGUCCACGCCGUAAACGAUGAGUGCUAAGUGUUAGGGGGUUUCCGCCCCUUAGUGCUGCAGCUAACGCAUUAAGCACUCCGCCUGGGGAGUACGACCGCAAGGUUGAAACUCAAAGGAAUUGACGGGGGGCCGCACAAGCGGUGGAGCAUGUGGUUUAAUUCGAAGCAACGCGAAGAACCUUACCAAAUCUUGACAUCCUUUGACAACUCUAGAGAUAGAGCCUUCCCCUUCGGGGGACAAAGUGACAGGUGGUGCAUGGUUGUCGUCAGCUCGUGUCGUGAGAUGUUGGGUUAAGUCCCGCAACGAGCGCAACCCUUAAGCUUAGUUGCCAUCAUUAAGUUGGGCACUCUAAGUUGACUGCCGGUGACAAACCGGAGGAAGGUGGGGAUGACGUCAAAUCAUCAUGCCCCUUAUGAUUUGGGCUACACACGUGCUACAAUGGACAAUACAAAGGGCAGCGAAACCGCGAGGUCAAGCAAAUCCCAUAAAGUUGUUCUCAGUUCGGAUUGUAGUCUGCAACUCGACUACAUGAAGCUGGAAUCGCUAGUAAUCGUAGAUCAGCAUGCUACGGUGAAUACGUUCCCGGGUCU
rnacentral:rRNA from 1 species